rnacentral:lncRNA from 1 species
AUCAAAGUAGGAUAGAAUCAAGCCUUCAGCACAUUAUUUUUCGAACAAGCUUGCGACGUAAUUCUAUACAUACCAUCAACCAUCCCAUACAACUUUCCAGCGAUAUUUAUCUUCAAGGUAGGCAAGCAGAGUUUGAGGUUUGCGCUUUCCAUCGAUAUUUCAUUCCAACACUCGAUCAACUUCUUUGAACGCUGUCCAUUGACUGAUGUAUACCCUUAGUAAAGGCAGCAAAUUUUCCCGUGGCACCAGAAGUGGUCAACAAAACUCCCAUCGAGCAUGUUGAUACUCGACGGUCCCAUCGAGCAUGUUGAUACUCGACGGUCACAACAAUUUCCCGUACUGGCUUUUUUCAUUUCCAUCAUUAAAAGCCACAACUUACAGUUUCAGGAGGCAUUCCCUAGCCCCUCCUCGAACUCCAACUUUCAUAUGUUCAUUGGAGCAAGCGGGCAACUUUAGUAGCAAGGAGCACAUAAAUUAAUUACUUCUGCUAGAAUAUCCACAUUUCCAUCAUUGAAAUUUAACAAUUACAGUACCACAAAGCAUCACUAGUUCCCUUCUAGGGCUCCAACUUUGAAAUAUUCUUUGGACCAGAAGGGCAACUGCUAGUAACAUAACAAAUUUUCCAAUAGUGAAUUUCAUUUCCAUCAUUAGAACCCCACCUUUAUUACUUCAGGAGGCAUUCACUAGUUCCCUCCUCAGACUCGAACUUUCAUAUGUUCAAUGGAGCAGAAGGACAACCCUAGGAGCAAACAAAUUAAAUACUUACGGUACCAGAAGGCAUCACUAGUUCCCUUCUAGGACUCAACUUUAAUACAUUCGUUGGAGCAGAAGGGCAACCACAGGAACAUAACAAAUCUGCCAACAGUAAAUUUCAUUUCCAUCAUUAAAACCCAACGUUUGUAGAUUCAAGAGGCAUUCAAUAGUUCCCUGCUCGGACUCCAUCAUUGAAAUCAGACACUUAUAGUACCAAAGGGCAUUCAAUAGUUCCCUGCUCGGACUCCAUCAUUGAAAUCAGACACUUAUAGUACCAAAGGGCAUUCAAUAGUUCCCUGCUCGGACUCCAUCAUUGAAAUCAGACACUUAUAGUACCAAAGGGCAUUCAAUAGUUCCCUGCUCGGACUCCAUCAUUGAAAUCAGACACUUAUAGUACCAAAGGGCAUUCAAUAGUUCCCUGCUCGGACUCCAUCAUUGAAAUCAGACACUUAUAGUACCAAAGGGCAUUCAAUAGUUCCCUGCUCGGACUCCAUCAUUGAAAUCAGACACUUAUAGUACCAAAGGGCAUUCAAUAGUUCCCUGCUCGGACUCCAUCAUUGAAAUCAGACACUUAUAGUACCAAAGGGCAUUCAAUAGUUCCCUGCUCGGACUCCAUCAUUGAAAUCAGACACUUAAACACUGACUUUCAUGUUCAUGAUUAAAUCCAACACUUCAGAGUUUAGAAGGCAUUCACUCUCGUCUGACUCUAACUUUCAUAAGUUCAUUGGAGAGAAUGGGCAACAACAAAGGGCAUCACAUUUUUAUUUGAUUAGAAGGCCAAAUUCCCUCACAUAUGCCUUCAGCUACUGACCUGUACUCAGCUUCAGAGCUACUCCUUGAGACCACUCCUUGUUUCUUGCUUCUCCAAGUCACUAGAUUGCCCCAUACAUAGGUGCAAAAUGCUGAUGUUGAUCUUCGUUCUGUUAAAUCUCCAGCCCAACUAGAAUCUGUAUACACAGUGAUUCCUUGUUGUGUUUUUUUCUGGAGAUAAAGGCCCAACCCGGGUGUACCUUUUAAGUACCUAAUAAUUCUCAUUAUUGCCGAGAGAUUUUCCUCGUUAGGCUGAUGCAUAUGCUGGCUCACAAUACUCACUGGGAAUGAGAUGUCUGGACGAGUAUGUGCCAAGUAUAUUAACUUACCAACCAGACGUUUGUAGCUCCUCCUUUCCACCGGAGCUAGAUCGGGGUUAUGAGUGAAUUUCAGAUUUGCUUCCAUUGGAGUACUUGCUGGUUUGCAGCCAGUCAUUCCAGUUUCCUUCAACAAAUCUAGGACGUAUUUGCGUUGUGAUAGAACCAGACCUUUACUCGAUCUAGCCACUUCGAUACCUAGGAAAUAUCUUAAGUUUCCACUCUGAUACCUAGGAAAUAUCUUAAGUUUCCAAGGUCGUUUAUCUCGAAUUCAUAUGUAAGUUUCAACUUCAGCCUCUGAAUCUCUAGUUCAUCAUUUCCAGUGAUGAAAAUGUCGUCCACGUAAACAAUCAGAAUGGAAAUUUUUCCAGUUUGUCCAUGUCGAACAAACAUGAUAUGGUCAGUCUGGCACUGAUGGAAGUCACAUCCCUUUACUACUUGAGAGAAUCGUUCAAACCAUGCCCUUGGAGAUUGUUUUAGUCCAUACAAGGCUUUUUUGUGCUUACAUAUUUUCCCUGGGUCAACUUGAACUCCUACUGGAACUUUCAUGAAAACUUCCUCACUUAGAUCACCAUUUAGGAACGCGUUUUUCACGUCUAAUUGGUAGAGAGGCCAAUCUAGGUUUACUGCCAAGCUGAGAAGGACCCGUACUGUCUUUAGUUUUGCUACUGGGGCAAAAGUCUCCUCAUAGUCGACUCCAUAUAAUUGAGUGAACCCAUGAGCGACCAGCCUUGCUUUAUAUCGCUCUAUACUUCCAUCUGAAGCAUACUUGACAGUGAAAAUCCACUUGCAGUCAACGAUGGAUUUAUCUGGUGGAAGUUGUACCAUCUCCCAUGUGCCAUUUUUCUCUAGUGCUCUAAUUUCCUGCAUCACGGCAUGUCUCCAGUGUGGUAUCUGCAUUGCUUCUUCGACAGAUUUUGGUAUCUCAGUGGAAUCUACACUGCUUACGAAGGAUUGAUACUUGGCACUGAGGUUUCCAUACGACACUCAUCUUUCAAUUUGAUGUUGAAUGCACGUACGAGUUCCUUUUUCUUUGAGCAAUAAGCAGAUCCAUUGAACUAUUAGGGUCUUUAUUGCCUGCUUCACUGCUUGUUGAAGUGUCAGUGUCAAUGUGAGCUUCCUAGGAAAUAGGUUGCUCGUCAGAUGAUGGCAGUUUGAAAGUUGUGUGUCGGGUGUCUUCUUCCUCCUAUCAUACAACAGGAGAGGUUUAUUUGUAUUUUCAUCAGUGCAUUGAGUACCUGUGGCAGUUGCUAUAGGGCUAGAAACUACAAAGGGAACUGGCACGGGCUCUUAUGAUAUGAUUUUCCCAAGAGAAGGCUGCUCAAAAUUCUCCCCCUGAGGCUGAGUUUGGGAAUAGUAGGGUUGAGAUUCAAAAAACUUGACAUCUUUGGAGUGAUAUAUUUUUUGGUGGAGGGGCGAGUAGCACUUGUAACCACUUUGAUUUGAAGAGUACUCGACGAAGACACAAGGAAUCGCUCUAGGAUCUAAUUUAGAGCGAAGAGAAGGGGCUACAUGGACAUAAACUGUGCAGCCAAAGAUUUUUGGUGGAAUGUCGGAGGAGAUGACAUGGCCUUGAAGGAAAGCAGCUAAAAGGACAUUUCGAGAUGUGUCGAGUUUGAGAGGCCUACAAGGUAGUCGGUUGAUGAGGUAUGUAGCUGUUAGCACUACUUCUCCCCAUAAAUGUUUGGGAGCGGUGGAAGCAAAUAACAAUGCCCUAGCUACUUCAAGGAGGUGCCGAUUUUUCCGUUCGGCCACUCCAUUUUGUUGUGGGGUGUAGGGACAGGAACUAGUGUGAUUGAUACCAUGAGUUGAGAGAUAAGUAUCAAGGGAGCUAUUUAGACCCAACAGGAAGCGAAUAGUUCUCUUGUAUUCAAGGAUCUUCUGAUAAAGGCACCAUCAACUGUGCAGACCCAGAGAUGCUCAUCUUAUAGAUCUUGUUGCAUCCAGAUUUUGCUCAACUCAUUAUAGUAUUGAGUGACCAACAUUUCUCCUUGUUUUAGGUCAUGGAGACGCAUCUCGGUGUCGUACAAUUGAGCUGUAUUUGACUGAUUUGAAUAGGUGUGAUGAGCACUAUCCCAAAUUUCGUAGGCUGGUUUGUGAAGGAGGAAUUUUUCACCAAUCGAGGGUGUCAUAGAGUUGAGAAGUCAUGAUUGCACCAUGUUGUCCUCAAUUUCUCAGUUGGUAAAUUGAGGAUCGGUUUCAGCGGAAGGAUUGCUUUUGUCAGAGAAGUAGCCCUUCUUUCCUUUGAUAGAAAUGAAUUUGAGGACAGAGGAGGACCACUGGAGGUAAUUAUCACCAUUGAGGCGGUGAUUGGUGAUACUUCCGAUUACUGUGUCUGUUGGAGGCAGAGGAGGAGGGCUGGAGUUAUUGUUUUGGUGUUAAUGAGUUUCUGGAACACCAGAGGAGUUUGAUGAUGGUAUCUCGGAGUUGAUGGAAUGACUUGAAAGAUCGUCGUUCACCAUUGAUGAGAUUGAGAGAAAACUGGAAAAAUUUUCUUGAGGUUUUUGUUUUGGUGGUGAUGAGUUUUUGAAACACCGGAGGAGUUUGAUGAUGGAAUCUCGGAAUUGAUGGAAUGACUGGAAAGAUCAUCAUUCAUCAUUGAUGAGAUUGAAAGAAAACUGGAAAAAGUUUUCUUGAGGUUUUUGUUUUGGUGUUGAUGAGUUUUUGAAACACAAGAGGAGUUCGAUGAUGGAAUCUCGGAAUUGAUGGAAUGACUGGAAAGAUCAUCAUUCAUCAUUGAUGAGAUUGAAAGAAAACUGGAAAAAGUUUUCUUGAGGUUUUUGUUUUGGUGUUGAUGAGUUUUUGAAACACAAGAGGAGUUCGAUGAUGGAAUCUCGGAGUUGAUGGAAUGACUCCUCAGCUUGCAGUUCCUCAGUUGGAACAUGAACCCCAAUUGGUUGCUCAACAUCAACUGCUAAACAGUCCACAGGUUCAGUGCUCUUCUCUAAAUCACCAUAUUGGUUGAUAAGUGUAGCAGCACGUUCUACACGCAUGCUAAUUUUUGAAGAUGGAUCAUGUUUAAUGAUCCGAAUACCCCUCAAAUCAAAGUUUCCAUUGUGCAAAGACGCCAAGCCAUUUACCAUACCUGGAAAAGAAGUUUAUAGACAAACAUAUUAUAUAUAUGGCAAACACUUCGAUACCCGCACGUAUUGGUACCCUCCACACUAAAAAUCUAACAUUUCUAAAAUUUAAAAUUCAAAAAAUAAAUCUUAAAUCCCUUACAAUAAAUCCUAAUCCACAAACACUACAUCAUAAACUCAACUCUAAAUAGCAUCACAAAAUCAAAUUUUGACCAUAAAUCAAAAUUAAGAGACCCUAACCCUAAAAAAUUAAAAUACUAUACCCCUAACACUGUAUUUUAAACCCUAAACACACUAGGCACAAAAUAUGGCAUAAAAGAGGCCGGUUCAUGUUUCACGAAAGAAUAACACGAAAAGCAUGGCAAAAAUUAAAUUGUGGACUCCAGUGAAAACUUACCAGUUAAUAUAGGUUCAUUAAAAACUUGAACUUCCAAAGCCUGUCUUUGUAUCAUCGAUAUCUCAAUGCGUGUGCAAGGAGCCUUCUUUCGUACACGACGUAUGUCCCCGGUAUUAGUCAAUUGCUGACGUAUAGUACUAGAAAGGAAAAACAAAUACAGUUAAUAGUAAGUCUAAUCCCAGAGAACAACAACGUCGAUAAACCAGACAUAAAUGCCUGGAACUUGUACUGUCAAGAUCACUUAGAUAGUAUAGUGGGAAAUGCAGUGAAACAUGAGAUUACGACAUUACGUACUCUCCAUGCAGAACCAUUGUCUCAUCCAUAAGCACUUUCCUCUUUGAGGCACUAAGACGGGAACUGGGACGAGACCGUUUUGCAGAUUUCACCUCUGGAGCAGGCGGACUAGGCUUCAGCCUCAAACUUGAAGAUUUUCUUCCAACUGUCAUAAAAAAGGAAAGCGCUCAACCGUCUAGACUUCCAGCCUUAAUCUCAUAUGAUAACUAAAUUCUGUAUAUUUUAGGGAAAAAGGUAUCUAAAAGGCAAUACAAGUUAUCAAAGUAAACCAAGUAUAGAGAAAGAAACAAAAUCACAUACCUAAAAUAGAACUCAGCAAAUCAUCAUCAGGAAUAGUCUCUUGGGUCCUUUUGGAUCUAGAUAGUCCAAGGGACUCCGAAGGAUUUAUAUCUCCUAUGUUUAAGGUACUUUCUGUAAAGCUUCUCUUUCUCCCAGCAACUCUGCUACCAACACUAGUCCCAUUAGCGCUUUCUAAGAAUUCACUGGCUGGUGUUAAUGCACCAAAGAACUGAUCAGGCCCAUCAAGAAGCUUUUCUGGUACAGAAAGCAUCUUUUCAGGUGCAGACAAGUCAUUCAAUUUCUCAGAAUGGUCACUCUUCGGGAUCUCGUUCACUACGUUAUCAUCCAGUCUAACGCUUCCAUCCAUGAUUUCUCCCUCGCGACCUGGUUGUACAACAUGAGCAUUGUCCAACAUUGUGCGGUCAACUAAAUGAGACUCCACACCUACAAAGUUAAAUAUCAUGCAAUUAGAUCAUGGAGAUCUGCAGAAGCACCACGAAUAAAGUACAACUAGUUUGCAAGAAGUCAAGAGCUCCCAAGUAAACACCUUGCAUAUCAGUAGAAUCUCCAUGCGAACAUGGGACAUCUUCUGUUUUUGAUGGGUCUGCAGAGGAUGGCACUGAUUGUAUGUCAGGUUGAAGUAUGGAGGCAAUGCAAGCUUGCAAUCCAACCAUAUUGGUAGAAGAAGAAAUUUUUCCGUUGUUGAUAUCAAUGUUUAAACUCACGUCUCCCUGAGUUUCGGUAUUAGAAUGCCCAGGAGCAUGAGGUAACUCAAGCAAUUGUCCUUCAACAUCUCUCGGAACAUCAGUAUUACCACUUCCAAGCAAUCUGGCCCCAAUAGCUUCUUCACAUUUCUCGUCUGUUGACUCCAACGGGUGACUAGGUUGUUCAUGCCCUACUUCGUCGUCACUUUUUUUGCCCACCUUAUUUGCAUCCUGCAACUCACCAGUAGUUCUAUCUUUCUGUAUGUACUCCAUAGACACUGGAGAAGAGCAUACAGCAGCUUUGAGCUUUGCUUUAUUUAUUGUUAAGUCAGAAGCCAGAAAUAUAUCCUGCUCUUCUUCGAGGCAUUGAAUACGAUCACCUACUGAUGAAUCAAUUGCUUCAUCCCUGUGUCGACGAUCAACCUUGCUAUAAACAUUUUCUGUGUUCUCCACACCAUGUAUAUCUGCUGAAUUGCGAUCUUCAGAUUCUAAAUGAUCAUCACAGACCAGCCCAUGCUGAACACUGGAUAGGUUUGGCUCUUCUACUAAUACAGGAGUAGAUGGAGCCUGUGCAUAUUCAAUAAGCUCUGCAUUUGAAGUUCGAUCCCCAAUCUGCAACGAAACAAAAGUGAUCCUAGUCAAAUAGGAGACAAGAAUACAAGAAUAAGGCAAAGUGGAUGAAAAAUUAGAUAGUCUACCUCGUUUACACUAUUAUUGACAGGACAGGAUUCAGAUAAUCCUGCAGUUCUGUGGUCGGUUUCAUCUCUUUUUGGAUCUUCAACAUCAUUGAUGGACAUCCUAUGAUCAAAUAUGGGGACAAAGCACUCAUUUAAAUAAAGUUACUUGUGAUGGAAACCAUCCUAUGACUCCAUAUGAAAUUAAAUAAAGUUCCAAUAUAAAACCACCGCAAUCCACGAAAAGCUCUAUAGCACAUUUAUCCUUUAAAAAAGAAACAGGUGAAGUAUACAAAAAUGUACGUCUCACAGAAAAUGUACGUCUCCCAGAAUUGGAAGAUGAUCAUUGUAUCAAGAAAACACCAACACUGUAGAAAAUAAUCUGAACCUCAAGUAACACCCACCAUACACGGCCAGCCCAGGAAAAGAAUUAGUAGAUAAGCAAUGUCUAAUGGAGAGAUAGUUCCAAACAAAAUCAAAGUUAAGAAUAGCAGCACGGAAACAUUGACUAAACUUAAGAAUUUUUUUUCCCAUGAAUAAAACUUAAGAAAAUUAAGAUGGCAUAUGAAGACAUAGGGUCAUCNNNNNNNNNNNNNNNNNNNNNNNNNNNNNNNNNNNNNNNNNNNNNNNNNNNNNNNNNNNNNNNNNNNNNNNNNNNNNNNNNNNNNNNNNNNNNNNNNNNNNNNNNNNNNNNNNNNNNNNNNNNNNNNNNNNNNNNNNNNNNNNNNNNNNNNNNNNNNNNACUUUACAACCAGAAAACUAACUUUAAAGAUAAAUCACUAACAAGUCAAUCAUGUCUGACGUAUAGUGAAACAGACACAUGUAUUCAAAGAAAUGAGGAUCGAAGUCAUACUCUAAAAUCCCAUUGGUUCCUGAAGCUGCAGCCUUGUCAAGGAACAAAUCCUGUACAACAUCCAAGGGUAAAAAUAAGAAAUGAGCAACAGCUAAAAAUAAUAUAAAAAUGGGCAUAACCACAAUGAUAGGACCAAUACAUCGUAGAUAAUUCUUAUGCAUGCACCAAUCAACAUAAAAAUGGAGGCGAAAGCAAUUAGGAAAGUACAAAGGAAUUACUACAGAGUUGGUUCAAUAUAAAACAUGAAAAAAACUCUCGACAUAUGCAGAAGAAAUAAAGGACGCAUAGCUCCUACUCUUUCAUAUCAAAUUAAGAAAGAAUUUACAUUGGGAUCCCAAUGAUUAGAUAACCAGGAAAGAAUACAUUUCUUUCACUCAAUCAUUUAUUAGUGUCAUAUCUGUCGAAAAUUGAGAUCCACAACAAAAUGACCAAUCCAACAACAUUGAAUCAAGAAACAUGAAAACAUUGAUGAAGCUAAACACAGGUGCAUAAUACAAACCAACUCUUAAGAUAAACAACAAUUAUGUACCGCACAAUUACCUCUUUAAGGUCCAAACAAACUUGAGAAGCAUCACCAUCACCAAAGCGUUCUGAAACCAUAACUCACUGAAGUUUAAUAACUACUCGAGGAGCAUGCAUCAGAUAAACACAAUCUAUCAUGAGACUAUAAGAAUGACACCAUAAAUGGUUACAAAGGUUAAUACUAACCAUCCAAUCCAAAUUGAGAUGUGGUGUAAACCACACCCUCCAUCGAGUCUUGAAGGGUGAUUUGCUCCUUUGAACUAACGUGAUGGUCAACAUAAUUACUGAAACAUGUAGAUAAAUAAUACAAACUUCAGUUGGGAGAGUAAUGCAUUAAUAUAGCGAUUUCACAUUAAAACUGAACUAUAUUGUAACCAAGAGAUCUAUAAUAACUUCAAUGCAAAUGACUUCGAGCUGAUCGGGAAUGUAAUGCCAAACCAGUGAAAUAUAAACUACUAUCAUGAAUCAAACUGCAUAUUCAUAAGAAAAGAGUGUAUUCAACAACACUUCAGAUAUAAGACCUAACAACAGAUUGCACAAAAGCUUAUAUGGGUGUCUGGAACUAACCCUUGGAGAAUAUCAUCAUCUGGAAGUUCAAAAUCAUCAAGAUCAAAAGUUUCAGGCAAGGUGAUAGAGUUAUAGGGAGCAGUUGACUCUUCAGGUGGUAAAUCAACUGCAGUGGAUCGAAAAGCUUGCUUUAUCUUUAGCAAAGCCUCACUGCAAUCAUCGAAAAGGUAAUUCACCUUCCUAGAAUAUAUCCUCACCACACCAACCAGAAGAUGACUGGACAGUCUAAGUGCGAUUGGUACAUCAGGGGAAAGAAUUGAAUCUGUAAAAGGGAAAAACGUUAAAAGGAGACAUGAGCCUAUACUAAAAAAUUAGCAACAGUGCAACAGUAAAUGAAACUGAAUUUAUCCUGUUUCCUAAUAUGGAUGUCUCUGUUGAGCUAAAACAAUCGAAUGCAGGGAGCAGGCUGCAUGUGUUUGCACCUCACACUACUAUACAAUGCAAUUGCAUGUAAACUGGAAUCAGAUAAAAUGGAUUUUGUUGGGCUGAAUCAUUAUACGUCAAGGUUCAUUGCCCAUGUACCAGGUGGUGGUGAUGCCGAAACUAAUUUCUAUAAAGCACAAUCGAUGAAGAGGAUUCGUAAGUCAAUUGUAAAAAAACGCAGUUCUGAUAUUUUGUAAUACCGUUUAGCGUUAUUGAUGUUUCUCAUUUCCACUGUGUCAUCAGAUGAAUGGGAAGACGGAGAACCAAUUGGUGAGAAGGUGCGCCUCUCUCUACCAGCCUUGAGAAAUCAUGUUUAAUUCGUUGACUAAUAUACUUACUUUAGGGAUGAUGUUAUGUAAUGCAAUGCAGGCUGCAUCGGAAUGGCUAUACGUUUGCCCAUGGGGACUGAGGAAGGUCCUGAAUUACGUAGCCAAGACAUACAAAUCCCCCAAAAUAUAUAUAACAGAGAAUGGUAAGUACGUGGAACGACAGGACUACCCAUGAUGUUGUUAUUUGAACUUGCCUGGAGGUUUGCAUCAGUUUCAUGGUUAUGAGUUGGUGUUGAUGGUGCUGUGUGGCAGGGAUGGACGAUGAAGACAGCGAUGCGCCACUUGAGGAAAUGCUGGAUGAUAAGAUGAGAGUACGCUACUUCAAAGGGUACCUUAAAGCGGUAGCAGAGGCAAUCAGGUGAGUAAGAUAUAGGGAGUGGUUGCUUGGUUCCAGAAUAUUAGGGAUUUGUAGAUGAAUUAACAUGGAGGCUGUUGUUGGGUGAGACAGAGAUGGAGUGGAUGUGAAGGGUUACUUUGCAUGGUCGUUGCUGGACAACUUCGAGUGGGCGCAAGGUUACACCAAGCGAUUUGGGAUAGUGUACGUGGACUACAAGGACGGGGAGCUGACUCGCCACCCAAAGUCGUCUGCAUAUUGGUUCUUGAGGUUCCUUAAGGGUGGUGAGGAAGGGAAAGACACAAAACAAGAAUGACUGAAUAUGGGUGGGUGUUGUGUUUAUGUAUGUCUGGCCUACUGUGACCUUUAAGCAUCUCUAUUGUACGUUGUAAUUGUGUGUGCGGAUUGGGUUUCCCCCGACUUUGUGGUAUGGUUCAUGAGGAGAGAACAGAAUAGAGAGCUAGUUGCCCACGGUAGUAGCUCAUCACUCUAUUUCUUUUACUACACCGGUUGUUGGAGAUGACUUUUGGGAUUGGUUGUACCUUCUGAUUGAUGUUUCAUUGAUCAUGAGAAGUUUAGACCACGACGAGUUAGACCAUGUCUACGCAGCGUGCCAUCAUGGCUUAAUCAUUGGGCCCAUCACUACCAUUGAAGAUACCAAGAGUUCAUGACCAUACCAAGAGUUCAUGGUAUUACUGCAGGUGUGCCAUUCCCCAAGAACUGUAUGCUCAGAAGCUAGACAGCAUCAUUCAAUUAGAGUUUAGAAUCAGAACUACUGGAGCAACUAACAACCGAUUAGACACUUCAUCAAAUCGGCUGUUAACAUUAGUCACUCGUGUAUGGAACAAGAGAACUUCCAGUUCCUCUGUAGAAGCCUUCUAUUUUCAUCCCCUCAUCAUCCCAAACCUCCGUAUGAACCGACGACACAAGAGUGAAAAUAGUUUCACUAUUUCAAUAGAUUAUUCAGGUAUGGACUUAGAUAUCACUCAUUUCUUCCAAGGUAAAAUACAUACCAUUUACACCUCUUUCGUCCAAAUCACUAACCAGCAAAAACCGUGCCCACUACCAUUUUACAACCUUAACGAAGAACACAACAUAGACAUUAAUAUUCAGCUAUCUCAAGACAUGAUAUGUUUGGCAAAAUCAAUUUCUACUGUGCUCAAGAUUUUGAAGCAGAAUUUAAGAACUGAGAUAUGUGACCGAGAUACCGGAUUAUAGAUAACAACCGAUGAAAAUCAUCACAAUCUCCAAACACAAAAGGAAACCUGAGUAUUCAUUAAAGUAGGAUAGAAUGAAACCUUCAGCACAUUAUUUCUCGAACAAGCUUGCGACGUAAUUUUAUACACACCAUCAACCAUCCCAUACAACUUUCCAGCGAUAUUUAUCUUCAAGGUAGGCAAGCAGAGUUUGAGGUUUGCGCUUUCCAGCGAUAUUUCAUUCCAACACUCUGAUCAACUUCUUUGAACGCUGUCCAUUGACUGAUGUAUACCCUUAGUAAAGGCAGCAAAUUUUCCCGUGGCACCAGAAGUGGUCAACAAAACUCCCAUCGAGCAUGUUGAUACUCGACGGUCCCAUCGAGCAUGUUGAUACUCGACGGUCCCAUCGAGCAUGUUGAUACUCGACGGUCCCAUCGAGCAUGUUGAUACUCGACGGUCCCAUCGAGCAUGUUGAUACUCGACGGUCCCAUCGAGCAUGUUGAUACUCGACGGUCCCAUCGAGCAUGUUGAUACUCGACGGUCCCAUCGAGCAUGUUGAUACUCGACGGUCCCAUCGAGCAUGUUGAUACUCGACGGUCCCAUCGAGCAUGUUGAUACUCGACGGUCACAACAAUUUCCCGUACUGGCUUUUUUCAUUUCCAUCAUUAAAAGCCACAACUUACAGUUUCAGGAGGCAUUCCCUAGCCCCUCCUCGAACUCCAACUUUCAUAUGUUCAUUGGAGCAAGCGGGCAACUUUAGUAGCAAGGAGCACAUAAAUUAAUUACUUCUGCUAGAAUAUCCACAUUUCCAUCAUUGAAAUUUAACAAUUACAGUACCACAAAGCAUCACUAGUUCCCUUCUAGGACUCCAACUUUGAAAUAUUCUUUGGACCAGAAGGGCAACUGCUAGUAACAUAACAAAUUUGCCAAUAGUGAAUUUCAUUUCCAUCAUUAGAACCCCACCUUUAUUGCUUCAGGAGGCAUUCACUAGUUCCCUCCUCAGACUCGAACUUUCAUAUGUUCAAUGGAGCAGAAGGACAACCGUAGGAGCAAACAAAUUAAAUACUUACGGUACCAGAAGGCAUCACUAGUUCCCUUCUAGGACUCAACUUUAAUACAUUCGUUGGAGCAGAAGGGCAACCACAGGAACAUAACAAAUCUGCCAACAGUAAAUUUCAUUUCCAUCAUUAAAACCCAACGUUUGUAGAUUCAAGAGGCAUUCAAUAGUUCCCUGCUCGGACUCCAUCAUUGAAAUCAGACACUUAUAGUACCAAAGGGCAUUCAAUAGUUCCCUGCUCGGACUCCAUCAUUGAAAUCAGACACUUAUAGUACCAAAGGGCAUUCAAUAGUUCCCUGCUCGGACUCCAUCAUUGAAAUCAGACACUUAUAGUACCAAAGGGCAUUCAAUAGUUCCCUGCUCGGACUCCAUCAUUGAAAUCAGACACUUAUAGUACCAAAGGGCAUUCAAUAGUUCCCUGCUCGGACUCCAUCAUUGAAAUCAGACACUUAUAGUACCAAAGGGCAUUCAAUAGUUCCCUGCUCGGACUCCAUCAUUGAAAUCAGACACUUAUAGUACCAAAGGGCAUUCAAUAGUUCCCUGCUCGGACUCCAUCAUUGAAAUCAGACACUUAUAGUACCAAAGGGCAUUCAAUAGUUCCCUGCUCGGACUCCAUCAUUGAAAUCAGACACUUAUAGUACCAAAGGGCAUUCAAUAGUUCCCUGCUCGGACUCCAUCAUUCAAAUCAGACACUUAGUACCAAAGGGCAUUUACUGGUCCCCUUCUAGGACUCCAACUUUAAUAUCUUCUUUGUAGCAAAAGGGCAACCGCAAUAAGAUAACAAAUCUGCCAAGACCGACUUUCAUUUCCAUCAUUAAAAUCCAACGAUUAAAAUUUCACAAGGCAUUCCAUAGUUCCCUCCUCGGACUCCAACUUUUAUAUAUUCAUUGGAGCAGAAGGGCAACUGCAGUAGCAAGGGCGAACAACAUAAAUUUGCAUGUUAAGACAACCACUUUCAUUUCCAUCUAACACUUACAAACUUGAGUUCCCUUCUAGGACUCAACUUAGAUAUAUUCUUUGGAGCAGAAGGGCAACCGUAAGGAACAUAACAAAUCUUCCAAUACCAACUUUCAUUUCCAUCAUUAAAAUCCACCGCUUAUAAUUUCAGGAUGCUUUCCCUAGUUCCCUCCUCGGACUCCAACUUUCAUAUAUUUAUUGGAGCAGAAGGGCAACCGCAGUAGCAAGGAGCGAACAGCAUGAAUUUGCAUGUUAGGACACCCACUUUCAUUUCCAUCAUUGAAAUCUAACACUUGCAAACUUUAAGACAUUCACUAGUUCCCUUCUAGGACUCAACUUUAAUAUAUUCUUUGGAGCAGAAGGGCAACUGUAAGGAACAUAACAAAUAUGCCAACACUGACUUUCAUGUUCAUAAUUAAAUCCAACACUAAGAGUUUAGAAGGCAUUCACUCUCGUCUGACUCUAACUUUCAUAAGUUCAUUGAAGAGAAUGGGCAACAACAAAGGGCAUCACAUUUUUAUUUGAUUAGCAGCCAACAGCAAAGAGAGAUGCCUUAUUUUACGACACAUGCAAUACUGGUCAUCUUGAUUCCAAAAUGAGCAUAUUGUUGAGUCAUUUUGCACUAAUAUUCCAUGACUUUAAAACACCUUUAUCCAAAAUCAAUAGAGAGGUUAAGAGAGAGGCAACUAUGCUAAGAGCAUAAACUUGUAGAGAGGCACAAAUUAGCCACACAAAAGAUAACAAACACAAAACAAACAGGUAUCCCACAAGCUAAAAGAGGAGAGCCAUUUAUUUCUGUAACCGGCAACAAUAUCAAGACGCUCUCAACAGUUAUCUAACAGGCACUCGGUAGCAUGGAAUCGUUUCCAAUAACAAGAAAUCCCAACACAAGAUAAAAAAUUAAUACCCAAACACAAAUUAUGCGAACUUGUCUCGGUAGCUUAGGUGUAUAAAAGAUGAACAUUAAUCCCAGAAUAAUACAUCAAAAGCGCAGAGGCUUGUUUACCAAAAAAUUCUCGUUUUGAGCACUUGUAGCAUCCAUGUUCGGCAACAGAAAGAAACCUUACGCAAAUUUAGAGUGGUGAAGAGACAAACAUGAAACUUAGCAACCAAGAUUUCUCAUCCGUUUACUCACAGCAAGACCGAUUUUACAUAUUCAGAUACUACCCCCGAAAUUAAAGGACGCAUCGAGGCAAGGAAAUUCGAAACCAGAGGGACAUAUAAACAUAGCUAAAUCACUGGUCAUACCUUAGAACACCCACACAAGCCCUAAUUCCCGAGAACCCUCCACCCUUUUCCGACUCCAACGGUCCUCUCCCCAACGGUUUCCAUCGAUCUGGCAAUCCCACACGAGCCGCUGUUUCCGCUUACUGAUCUCCUGAACGCCAACAUAGCUCCGAUGGCCUCUCCUCGCUGGACACGAGAUCUCCAUGACCCCUCGGAACUCCCAAUCUCUCUCCUUGGUUGUUUUCCAGGAGAAAUCGCCAAUUAUCGAAUUUCUAUUCUUGCCCCACGUGUCACCCUAAUGCCCUGCUCAACGGUUGUAUCUCCAGCUUCUUUUUA